rnacentral:rRNA from 1 species
CUACGUAGGUGACAAGCGUUAUCCGGAUUUACUGGGCGUAAAGGGCGUGUAGGCGGUCUUGCAAGUCAGAAGUGAAAUUCCUGAGCUCAACUCGGGCGCUGCUUCUGAAACUGCAGGACUUGAGUGCUGGAGGGGAUAGCGGAAUUCCUAGUGGAGCGGUAAAAUGCGCAGAUAUUAGGAAGAACACCGGUGGCGAAGGCGGCUAUCUGGACAGUAACUGACGCUGAGGCGCGAAAGCGUGGGGAGCAAACAGGAUUAGAUCCCCUGGUAGUCCACGCCGUAAACGAUGAAUACUAGGUGUAGGGGGUAUCGACUCCCUCUGUGCCGCAGUUAACACAAUAAGUAUUCCGCCUGGGGAGUACGGCCGCAAGGUUGAAACUCAAAUGAAUUGGCGGGG